AACGCACAUUGCGCCCUUUGGUAUUCCUUAGGGCAUGCCUGUUCGAGCGUCAUAAGUACCUUCAAGCUUGGCUUGGUGAUGGGUGUCUGUCUUGCCGAUUGCGUGCGGACUCACCUCAAAAAUAGUUGGCAGCUCAUCUUUUUGGCUCUAAACGCAGCAGACGCGCGAUGAAAGCCAGGAAAGAUGCUUUCCAUAAAGCUAUACCUUAUGCAUGACCUCGGAUCAGGUAGGGAUACCCGCUGAACUUAA
rnacentral:misc_RNA from 1 species